rnacentral:rRNA from 1 species
CCUAUCCGCCGUGGGCGUAGGAAAUUUGAGAGGAGCUGUCCUUAGUACGAGAGGACCGGGAUGGACCAACCUCUGGUGCACCAGUUGUUCCGCCAGGAGCACAGCUGGGUAGCUAUGUUGGGAAGGGAUAAACGCUGAAAGCAUCUAAGCGUGAAGCCCACCUCAAGAUUAGAUUUCCCAUAGCGUAAGCUAGUAAGACCCCUGAAAGACUAUCAGGUUGAUAGGUUGGAGGUGUAAGUACAGUAAUGUAUUCAGCUGACCAAUACUAAUAGGUCGAGGGCUUGAUCAAAUA